rnacentral:rRNA from 1 species
UACGAAGGUGGCAAGCGUUACUCGGAAUUACUAGGCGUAAAGGGCAGGUAGGUGGUUUGGUUAGUCUGUUGUGAAAGCUCCUUGCUUAACGGGGAGAGGCCAACAGAUACUGCCAGACUUGAGUAUAGGAGAGGGUACUGGAAUUCCCGGUGUAGCGGUGAAAUGCGCAGAGAUCGGGAGGAACACCAAUGGCGAAGGCGGCUCACUGGAUCGGUACUGACGCUGAGGUGCGAAAGCGUGGGGAGCAAACAGGG